UUGUAGUUGUUGGUACAGGAGUUGUAGUUGUUGGGGCAACAGUUGUAGUCGUUGGGGCAACAGUUGUAGUCGUUGGGGCAGCAGUUGUAGUCUCGGUGGGGCAGUAGUUGUUGCGGCAGGAGUUGUAGUUGUAGGGGCAUCAGUUGUAGUUGUUGGGGCAGCAGUUGUAGUCGUUGGGGCAGCAGAUGUAGUUGUUGGGACAGGAGUUGUAGUUGUUGGGGCAGCAGUUGUAGUAGUUGGGGCAGCAGUUGUAGUUGUUGGGACAGGAGUUGUAGUUGUUGGGGCAGCAGUUGUAGUUGUUGGG